AGUAACUGCGAGUGAAGCGGCAAAAGCUCAAAUUUGAAAUCUGGCGUCUUCGGCGUCCGAGUUGUAAUUUGGAGGGAUAUCUUCGGAGUUGGCGCCGUCCUAAGUUCCUUGGAACAGGACGUCAUAGAGGGUGAGAAUCCCGUGCCUGGGCGGCUGUCCAGCUCCAUGUGAAGUGUCUCCGACGAGUCGAGUUGUUUGGGAAUGCAGCUCAAAAUGGGUGGUAAAUUUCAUCUAAAGCUAAAUAUUGGCGAGAGACCGAUAGCGCACAAGUAGAGUGAUCGAAAGAUGAAAAGCACUUUGAAAAGAGAGUUAAAAAGUACGUGAAAUUGUUGAAAGGGAAGCGCUUGCGACCAGACUCGAUCUUUGGUGAUCAGCUGGGCUUCGGCCUGGUGCCCUCGCCAUUGAUUGGGCCAGCAUCGGUUCUGACGGUGGGAUAAAAGGGGAAGGAAUGUGGCUUCUCUCGGGGAGUGUUAUAGCCUUCAUCAUAAUGCCGCCAGUUGGGACCGAGGACCGCGCUUCGGCUAGGAUGCUGGCGUAAUGGUCUUAAGCGACCCGUCUUGAAACACGGACCAAGGAGUCUAACAUCUAUGCGAGUGUUCGGGUGGAAAACCCUUGCGCGUAAUGAAAGUGAACGGAGGUGGGAACUCUUCGGAGUGCACCAUCGACCGGUCCUGAUGUCUUCGGAAGGAUCUGAGUAAGAGCAUAGCUGUUGGGACCCGAAAGAUGGUGAACUAUGCCUGAAUAGGGUGAAGCCAGAGGAAACUCUGGUGGAGGCUCGCAGCGGUUCUGACGUGCAAAUCGAUCGUCAAAUUUGGGUAUAGG
rnacentral:rRNA from 1 species